rnacentral:tRNA from 1 species
GGGCGGUUAGCUCAGCGGUCAGAGCGCUGCGUUGACAUCGCAGAGGUCACUGGUUCAAGUCCAGUACCGCCCA